GAUGAACGCUGGCGGCGUGCCUAAUACAUGCAAGUCGAGCGAACAGAUGAGGGGCUUGCUCCUCUGACGUUAGCGGCGGACGGGUGAGUAACACGUGGAUAACCUACCUAUAAGACUGGGAUAACUUCGGGAAACCGGAGCUAAUACCGGAUAAUAUAUUGAACCGCAUGGUUCAAUAGUGAAAGACGGUUUUGCUGUCACUUAUAGAUGGAUCCGCGCCGCAUUAGCUAGUUGGUAAGGUAACGGCUUACCAAGGCAACGAUGCGUAGCCGACCUGAGAGGGUGAUCGGCCACACUGGAACUGAGACACGGGCCAGACUCCUACGGGAGGCAGCAGUAGGGAAUCUUCCGCAAUGGGCGAAAGCCUGACGGAGCAACGCCGCGUGAGUGAUGAAGGUCUUCGGAUCGUAAAACUCUGUUAUUAGGGAAGAACAAAUGUGUAAGUAACUAUGCACGUCUUGACGGUACCUAAUCAGAAAGCCACGGCUAACUACGU
rnacentral:rRNA from 1 species